rnacentral:rRNA from 1 species
CGAACAAGUAGCGUGAGCGAACGCUGAAAAGCACCCCGAGAAGGGCGGUGCAAUAGGGCCUGAAAUCAGUUGGCGAUGGAGCGACGGGGCACGAAAGGUCCCGCAGGAAACGAGCCGGGGGCGACCCCGCAGUAGGAACCGCGGGAAGCCGGUGUUCCGUCGUACGUUUUGAAAAACGAGCCAGGGAGUGUGUCUGUUCGGCGAGUCUAAGCGGAGUAUCCGCGAAGGCACAGGGAAACCGAUACGGCCGCAGUACGUGGGCUCAGCCCACGUUCCAGGGCCACCGUGUUCAAGCGCGGGGAGUCGAACGGACACGACCCGAAACCGGGUGAUCUACGCGUGGACAAGGUGAAGCGUGGCGAAAGCUACGUGGAAGCCUGCUAGGGUUGGUGUCCUACAAUACCCUCCCGUGAUCUACGUGUAGGGGUGAAAGGCCCAUCGAACCCGGAAACAGCUGGUUCCAACCGACACAUGUCGAAGCAUGACCUCUGCCGAGGUAGUUCGUGGGGUAGAGCGACCGAUUGGGGGUACCGACUCCGAGAGGAGUCGGUCCUCCUGUCGAACUCCGAACCUACGGACGCCGUGGACGCAGGGAGUCCGCUGUGCGGGGUAAGCCUGUGCACCGUGAGGGAGACAACCCAGAGCUGGGUUAAGGUCCCCAAGUGUGGGCUAAGUGCGAUCGAAGGUGGUCCCGAGCCCCAGACAGCCGGGAGGUGAGCUUAGAAGCAGCUACCCUCUAAGAAAAGCGUAACAGCUUACCGGCCGAGGUUCGGGGCGCCGAAAAUGAUCGGGGCUCAAGCCCACCACCGAGACCUGGCGGCACUCCUCAUCGAGUGUUCCAGUAGGUUGGCACGACGGUCGGGUGGAAGCACGGACGAGAGUUCGUGUGGACCGACCGACGACGAAAAUCCUGGCCGCAGUAGCAGCGAUAGUCGGGUUAGAAUCCCGACGGCCGAACGAGUAAGGGUUCCUCGACAAUGUUCGUCAGUCGAGGGUUAGCCGGCCCUAAGUCCUGUCGCAAUUCGAGCAGGACGAAAUGGGAAGCUGGUUAAUAUUCCAGCGCCACUACACAGUGAAAGCUGACGCCUUGGGGUCGACCGGGCCACGCCUUCGCGUGGUCGAACCGUCCAAAUCCGUGGAAGCCGUAACGGCACGAAGCGGACGAACGGCGGGAUAGCGCAAGCCGGUUCAACCUAGGGCCCGUGAAAAGGCGAGUGUAGUGUCCGUACCGAGAACCGACACAGGUGCUCGUGGCAGAGAAAGCCAAGGUCUGUCGGGAACAACCGACGUUAGGGAAUUCGGCAAGUUAGUCCCGUAAGUUCGCGAUAAGGGAUGCCUGCCCGGGAAACGGGCAGGUCGCAGUGACCUGGGCGCUCCGACUGUCUAGUAACAACACAGGUGACCGCAAAUCCGAAAGGACUCGUACGGUCACUGAAUCCUGCCCAGUGCGGGUAUCUGAACACCCAGUACAAUGGGACGAAGGACCCGUCAACGGCGGGGGUAACUAUGACCCUCUUAAGGUAGCGUAGUACCUUGCCGCUUCAGUAGCGGCUUGCAUGAAUGGAUCAACGAGAGCGCCACUGUCCCAACGUUGGGCCCGGUGAACCGUACGUUCCAGUGCGGAGUCUGGAGACCCCCAAGGGGAAGCGAAGACCCUAUGGAGCUUUACUGCAGGCUGUCGCUGAGACAUGGUCGCUGAUGUGCAGAAUAGGUAGGAGGCGUUACACAGGUACCCGCGCUAGCGGGCCACCGAGCCAUCAGUGAAAUACUACCCGUCAGUGACUGUGACUCUCACUCCGGGAGGAGGACACCGAUAGCCGGGCAGUUUGACUGGGGCGGUACGCGCUCGAAAAGAUAUCGAGCGCGCCCUAUGUCCACCUCACGCGGGUCGGGAACCCGUGGAAGAGUGCAAGAGCAAAAGGUGGACUGACAGUGUCCUUCCUAACGAGGGACGCUGACGCGAAAGCGUGGUCUAGCGAACUAAUGAGCCUGCCCAAUGCGGGCCAUUAACGACAGAAAAGCUACCCUAGGGAUAACAGAGUCGUCACCGGCAAGAGCACAUAUCGACCCGGUGGCUUGCUACCUCGAUGUCGGUUCCCUCCAUCCUGCCCGUGCAGAAGCGGGCAAGGGUGAGGUUGUUCGCCUAUUAAAGGAGGUCGUGAGCUGGGUUUAGACCGUCGUGAGACAGGUCGGCUGCUAUCUAUUGGGGGUGUGAGGUGUCUGCUGGGAACGAUCGUAUAGUACGAGAGGAACUACGGUCGGCGGCCACUGGUGUACCGGUUGUCCGAGAGGGCAUAUGCCGGGCAGCCACGCCGCACGGGGUAAGAGCUGAAAGCAUCUAAGCUCGAAACCCACCCACAAAAGAGACACCGUCGAGGUCACUCGUAGAAGACGAGUUCGAUAGACUCGGGGUGUACGCGCCAAGGCAACGAGGCGUUCAGCCCGCGAGCACUAACAGACCGAGCCAUACUCAUA